rnacentral:rRNA from 1 species
GCUCCAAUAGCGUAUAUUUAAGUUGUUGCAGUUAAAAAGCUCGUAGUUGGACCUUCGGGCGGAGGUCUCGGUCUGCCGUUUCGGUUGAUACUGUCUCCUCCGUCCUUCCUGUCGGGAACGCGCCUGGCCUUCACUGGCUGGGGCGCGGGCGCGACGACGUUACUUUGAAAAAAUUAGAGUGUUCAAAGCAGGCCACGUUC